rnacentral:sRNA from 1 species
GUGGAAACGAACGGUCGUGUGUACGGAUGAAAUAAAUUUGUUCAACGUUUGGAGCCCACUGUGCUGAACUGUUAACAUAAUCAAGAGCAAUAAACAAGUGCUUUAAAUUUUGUUUAAAUUAAGACUGGAUAUAAAAAGAAAUCGUUGUCAUUCGACCUAAAAUGUAAACUGUGUAAGUUUACGAUUUGAACAAUAACAACAAAAAUCAGUCUAUAAUGGUUGUAAUUUAGCUAAUAAACAAUUUACGGACACGGAAAUCACGUGGAAGCAACUUGAACUCCAUUUGUGAACAGCAGCAGGAGCAGCGACUGUGGCAGCAUCAGCUGCUAAUCGACUACAACAAUAAGCAUAAAUCAUCGUCAAGCAACAACAACAUUGCGAUUGAGUUGCAAGCCUAAGCAAAGUGAAGAGCAAGCAAAAAACAUAUAACGCAUUAAUCAUACGCCGCGUGCGCCGCAAUUGAAACGCCCUGUGAAAUUUGCUCCAACGAAAUGUUUGCGAAAAGGCCGCACAAUGCGCCGCGCACUUGACACGCGUUGAGUUACUGUUACAGUUACCGUCAUUACCGUAACGUCAAUCGAUCAAUCGAUAAAUUUGUUAUCGUUUAUUUGUUUUUUUUGGGUUUUUAGUUUUCACGUCGCUUGUUUUUUAUUUCGCUUUGUUUAUUCGAAGUGCCGCAUGUACGUGUCCGGGCUAAAAACGUUUACUGGCAGCUACAACUGCAACAACAACAACAAUAACAA